CCUGGGUGUCACAAAUCGUCGUCCC
rnacentral:siRNA from 1 species